AACUGUGCUGCUGCUCAUGUUGUGUCUGCAGGCUUUCCUGCUCACCACAACCUUCACAUCUGCUGAUGCAUCCACUCCGCUGAAGUAUAAACAGUCUUCUGAUCUGGUUAAUGUGGAAAAACGAACUUCAGAGAACAGAGAUACAGAUUCCGCCGAGCCAGGAGAAUAUGCCUUCCCGGUUGAGGGAACCAUUAAUGCUCACCAGAGAAAGGAGAGAAGACAAAACUCAAAAAAAAAAAAAAAA